rnacentral:rRNA from 1 species
GACGAACGCUGGCGGCGUGCCUAAUACAUGCAAGUUGAGCGAUGAAGAUUGGUGCUUGCACCAAUUUGAAGAGCAGCGAACGGGUGAGUAACGCGUGGGGAAUCUGCCUUUGAGCGGGGGACAACAUUUGGAAACGAAUGCUAAUACCGCAUAACAACUUUAAACAUAAGUUUUAAGUUUGAAAGAUGCAAUUGCAUCACUCAAAGAUGAUCCCGCGUUGUAUUAGCUAGUUGGUGAGGUAAAGGCUCACCAAGGCGAUGAUACAUAGCCGACCUGAGAGGGUGAUCGGCCAAAUGGGGAAUGAGACACGGCACAAAAUCCUACGGGAGGCAGCAGUAGGGAAUCUUCGGCAAUGGACGAAAGUCUGACCGAGCAACGCCGCGGGAGUGAAGAAGGGUUUCGGAUCGUAAAACUCUGUUGGUAGAGAAGAACGUUGGUGAGAGUGGAAAGCUCAUCAAGUGACGGUAACUACCCAGAAAGGGACGGCUAACUACGUG